CCUACGGGAGGCAGCAGUGGGGAAUAUUGCACAAUGGGGGAAACCCUGAUGCAGCGACGCCGCGUGAGUGAAGAAGUAUCUCGGUACGUAAAGCUCUAGCAGCAGGGAAGAAAAUGACGGUACCUGACUAAGAAGCCCCGGCUAACUACGGGCCAGCAGCCGCGGUAAUACGUAGGGGGCAAGCGUUAUCCGGAUUUACUGGGUGGAAAGGGAGCGUAGACGGCAGCACAAGUCUGGAGGGACAUCCCGGGGCUUAACCCCGGAACUGCUUUUGAAACUGUGCGGCUGGAGUGCAGGAGGGUUAAGCGGUCUUCCUAUUGUCGCGGUGCACUGCGUAGCUAUUAGGAGGAACACCGGUGGCGACGGCGGCUUACUGGACUGUAACUGACGUUGAGGCUCGAACGCGUGGGGAGCAAACAGGAUUAGCUACCCGGGUAGUC
rnacentral:rRNA from 1 species